UACGGGGGGGGCAAGCGUUGCUCGGAAUUACUGGGCGUAAAGGGCUCGUAGGUGGCCAACUAAGUCAGACGUGAAAUCCCUCAGCUUAACUGGGGAACUGCGUCUGAUACUGGAUGGCUUGAGUUUGGGAGAGGGAUGCGGAAUUCCAGGUGUAGCGGUGAAAUGCGUAGAUAUCUGGAGGAACACCGGUGGCGAAGGCGGCAUCCUGGACCAACACUGACACUGAGGAGCGAAAGCCAGGGGAGCAAACGGG
rnacentral:rRNA from 1 species